rnacentral:rRNA from 1 species
GCCACUCAUUCAAAGAGUGCGUAAUAGCUCACUGGUCGAGUGAUCCUGCGCCGAAGAUUUCCGGGGCUAAAACUUACUACCGAAGCUACGGCAUCAGGAAUGAUGGGUAGGGGAGCUUCCCAUACGGGUUGAAGCAUGACCGUAAGGACAUGUGGACAGGAUGGGAGUGAGAAUGUUGGCAUGAGUAGCGAGAUGUGGGUGAGAAUCCCACAGGCCGUAAACCCAAGGUUUCCAGGG